rnacentral:rRNA from 1 species
CCUACGGGGGGCAGCAGUGGGGAAUAUUGGACAAUGGGGGCAACCCUGAUCCAGCCAUGCCGCGUGUGUGAAGAAGGCCCUCGGGUUGUAAAGAACUUUCAGUGAGGAAGAACGCCUGGUGGUUAAUACCCAUCAGGAAAGACAUCACUCACAGAAGAAGCACCGGCUAACUCCGUGCCAGCAGCCGCGGUAAUACGGAGGGUGCGAGCGUUAAUCGGAAUUACUGGGCGUAAAGCGCGCGUAGGUGGCUUGAUAAGCCGGUUGUGAAAGCCCCGGGCUCAACCUGGGAACGGCAUCCGGAACUGUCAAGCUAGAGUGCAGGAGAGGAAGGUAGAAUUCCCGGUGUAGCGGUGAAAUGCGUAGAGAUCGGGAGGAAUACCAGUGGCGAAGGCGGCCUUCUGGACUGACACUGACACUGAGGUGCGAAAGCGUGGGUAGCAAACAGGAUUAGAUACCCCUGUAGUC